GAUGAAGAACUCAGCGAAAUGCGAUACGUAAUGUGAAUUGCAGAAUUCAGUGAAUCAUCGAGUCUUUGAACGCACAUUGCGCCCCCUGGUAUUCCGGGGGGCAUGCCUGUCCGAGCGUCAUUGCUGCCCUCAAGCACGGCUUGUGUGUUGGGCCUCCGUCCUCCUCCCGGGGGACGGGCCCGAAAGGCAGCGGCGGCACCGCGUCCGGUCCUCGAGCGUAUGGGGCUUCGUCACCCGCUCUUGUAGGCCCGGUCGGCGCUUGCCGACACAUCAAUCUUUUUUCCAGGUUGACCUCGGAUCAGGUAGGGAUACCCGCUGAACUUAAGCAUAUCAAUAAGCGGAGGA
rnacentral:misc_RNA from 1 species